rnacentral:pre_miRNA from 1 species
GAGUAAAAUGCACUAGCGGUCCUUAAACUUAUCGGGAGGUUUCACUUAAGUCCACGAACUUGCAAAGCGCACAUCGAGGUCUCUAAACUUGGUUUAUUGUAUCAUCCCGGUCCAAAGCCACGUUUGAUUGUGGUCUUGCCUAUGUGGCACGCCACGUGAAUGAUGACAUGGAAUUUUUUUUAUUUUUUUCUCCCUUCUUCCUUCUUUUUUCACCACUGCGACAACCCCUCCCCUCGUUCCGCCUCUCACCACCGAGAAAAAAGAAGGAAGAAAGAGAAAAAAAGAAGGAAGAAGGGAGAAAAAAAUAAAAAAAAUUCCAUGUCAUUAUCCACGUGAUGUGCCACGUAGGCAAGACCACAGUCAAAUGCGGCUUUGAACCGGAAUGAUAUAAUAAACCAAGUUUAGGGAUCUCGAUGUGCACUUUGCAAGUUCGUGGAUCUAAGUGAAACCUCCUGACAAGUUUAAGAACCGCUGGUGUAUUUUACUC